AACGCGAAGAACCUUACCCAGGCUCGAAAUGUAGGUGGCGAUACCAGAGAUGGUAUUUUCCGUAAGGACGCCUAUAUAGGUGCUGCAUGGCUGUCGUCAGCUCGUGCCGUGAGGUGUUGGGUUAAGUCCCGCAACGAGCGCAACCCUUAUCAUUAGUUGCCAACGCGUAAUGGCGGGAACUCUAAUGAGACUGCCUAGGUUAACUAGGAGGAAGGUGAGGAUGACGUCAAGUCCGCAUGGCCUUUAUGUCUGGGGCUACACACGUGCUACAAUGGUCGGUACAGAAGGCAGCGAAAUCGUAAGAUGAAGCAAAUCCCAAAAGCCGGCCUCAGUUCAGAUUGUGGUCUGCAACUCGACCACAUGAAGUUGGAAUUGCUAGUAAUGACGAGUCAGCAACAUCGUCGUGAAUACGUUCCCGGGCCUUGUA
rnacentral:rRNA from 1 species